rnacentral:rRNA from 1 species
UACAGAGGGUGCAAGCGUUGUUCGGAAUUAUUGGGCGUAAAGCGCGUGUAGGCGGCUUUGCAAGUCGGGUGUGAAAGCCCUCGGCUCAACCGAGGAAGUGCGCCCGAAACUGCAGAGCUUGAGUACCGGAGAGGAUGGCGGAAUUCCCCAAGUAGAGGUGAAAUUCGUAGAUAUGGGGAGGAACACCGGUGGCGAAGGCGGGCCAUCUGGACGGAUACUGACGCUGAGACGCGAAAAGCGUGGGGAGCAACAGGGAUUAAGAU